rnacentral:lncRNA from 1 species
AUCGAUCUUGAAGUUGAGAAGGGAAAAGUAUUCAGUUAUUUGCUCUUGUACGUGAUGGAAGCACAGAAACUUGGCUUAAUAAUAUGUCGAAGGGAGCAGCAGUAUGAUUAAGGUUAGUAGAGGGAGGCGAUGACACAUUAGCUAGCUCUCAUUGCGUUAUUCUUGUUUAACAAGCAUAAUGUGCCUUUUACAGUGGCAAGAAGAGAAGUGAUAAGUCUCUCCGAAGAAAUCCUCGAGAUAGAAGAAUUAAGUGUUAUGGUAGGGUGCUUUGGGGUAUAAGCAAAGGUGAUGGG